AGAUCCCAUUCCCGGAUCCCAUUCCCGAGUCCCAUUAUCCCAUCCCAUUAUCCCAUUCCCGGAUCCCUGGAUCCCAUCCCUGGAUCCCAUUCCCAGAUCCCAUUCCCAAAUCCCAUUAUCCCAUCCAUGGAUCCCAUCCCAGAUCCCAUUCCCAGAUCCCAUUCCCGGAUCCCAUUCCCCGAUCCCAUUCCCGGAUCCCAUUCCCAGAUCCCAUUCCCGGAUCCCAUUCCUGUGUCCCAUUAUCCCAUCCCAUUAUCCCAUUCCCAUAUCCCAUUAUCCCAUUAUCCCAUUCCCGGAUCCCAUUCCCGGAUCCCAUUCCCGAAUCCCAAAUCCCAUUCCCACUCCGCAGGAUCACCGGGAUCUGCUGGCGCGGGCGGAGUCGGGACAGGCGGAGCUGGAGCGGCUCCGCAAGGCGGAAGGGGAGAGAGAGGCACAGCGGGAGCGGUGGGAAUUCCGGGAAUUCCGGGAAUUCCGGGAAUGGGGGAAUUCCGGGAAUGGGGGAAUUCCGGGAAUGGGAAUUCCGGGAAUGGGGGAAUCCUGGGAAUGGGAAUUCCAGGAGUAGGGGAAUCUGGGAAUUCCAGGAAUGGGAAUUCCGGGAAUGUGGGAAUCCGGGAAUGGGAAUUCUGGGAAUGGGGGAAUUCCGGGAAUGGGGGAAUCCUGGGAAUAGGAAUUCCGGGAAUGGGGGAAUCUGGGAAUGGGAAUUCUGGGAAUUCUGGGAAUGUGGGAAUUCCAGGAAUGUGGGAAUUCCAGGAAUUCCGGGAAUGGGAAUUCUGGGAAUGGGAAUGGGGGAAUCCUGGGAAUGGGGGAAUUCCGGGAAUGGGGGAAUCCUGGGAAUGGCAAUUCCGGGAAUGGGAAUGUGGAAAUUCCAGGAAUGGGAAUUCUGGGAAUGUGGGAAUUCCGGGAAUGGGAAUUCCAGGAGUGCGGGAAUGUGGGAAUCCUGGGAAUGGGAAUUCUGGGAAUGGGGGAAUCUGGGAAUUCCGGGAAUCCUGGGAAUGCGGGAAUCCUGGGAAUGGGGGAGUUCCAGGAGUGGGA
rnacentral:lncRNA from 1 species